GUGGCGAACGGGUGAGUAACACGUGAGCAAUCUGCCCUUGACUCUGGGAUAACUGCGGGAAACUGUAGCUAAUACCGGAUACUUUCCUCGCUGGGCAUCCAGCGGGGAAGAAAGAAUUUCGGUCAAGGAUGAGCUCGCGGCCUAUCAGCUAGUUGGUGAGGUAAUGGCUCACCAAGGCGACGACGGGUAGCCGGCCUGAGAGGGUGACCGGCCACACUGGAACUGAGACACGGUCCAGACUCCUACGGGAGGCAGCAGUGGGGAAUAUUGCACAAUGGGCGAAAGCCUGAUGCAGCAGCGCCGCGUGAGGGAUGAAGGCCUUCGGGUUGUAAACCUCUUUUAGCAGGGAAGAAGCGAAAGUGACGGUACCUGCAGAAAAAGCACCGGCUAACUACGUGCCAGCAGCCGCGGUAAUACGUAGGGUGCAAGCGUUGUCCGGAAUUAUUGGGCGUAAAGAGCCCGUAGGCGGUUUGUCACGUCUGCUGUGAAAAUCCGAGGCUCAACCUCGGACUUGCAGUGGGUACGGGCAGGCUAGAGUGCGGUAGGGGAGAAGGGAAUUCCUGGUGUAGCGGUGGAAUGCGCAGAUAUCGGGAGGAACACCAAUGGCGAAGGCACUUCUCUGGGCCGUAACUGACGCUGAGGAGCGAAAGCGUGGGGAGCGAACAGGAUUAGAUACCCUGGUAGUCCAC
rnacentral:rRNA from 1 species